UACGUAGGGUGCAAGCGUUGUCCGGAAUUAUUGGGCGUAAAGAGCGUGUAGGCGGCCCGAUUAGUCCGCUGUGAAAGUCCAGGGCUCAACCCUGGAAUGCCGGUGGAAACUGUCGAACUAGAGUCCGGAAGAGGCGAGUGGAAUUCCUGGUGUAGCGGUGAAAUGCGCAGAUAUCAGGAGGAACACCAAUGGCGAAGGCAGCUCGCUGGGACGGUACUGACGCUGAGACGCGAAAGCGUGGGGAGCAAACAGG
rnacentral:rRNA from 1 species